GGGGCCUUCAUCAAGAUUCAAGGUUUUUGAGUGCUCUUUCCAGUGAAGUUGGAAUCAAGACAUUUGGAUCCAUAUCCUGGAAACUACGCUCCCCCGAAUGAGAAGUGGUCCGAGGAGACUUGGAUUAUGCGAGAUGGUUCUGCGGCUUCGUUAACUCGCAGCACUUAUAGAUUUAAUUCUGGAAAUGAGGUGCGAGUUGAGAUAUGCGGGUAAGGAAACCCUGAGUGAGACCAAAC
rnacentral:lncRNA from 1 species